UAACGGGGUGUUAGGGCACGACACCGGAGAGGGAGCCUGAGAAACGGCUACCACAUCCAAGGAUGGCAGCAGGCGCGCAAAUUACCCAAUCCCGACACGGGGAGGUAGUGACAAUAAAUAACAAUACGGGGUUCUUUAGGAUCUCGUAAUUGGAAUGAGUACAAUUUAAAUCUCUUAACGAGGAACAAUUGGAGGGCAAGUCUGGUGCCAGCAGCCGCGGUAAUUCCAGCUCCAAUAGCGUAUAUUAAAGUUGUUGCAGUUAAAAAGCUCGUAGUUGAAUUUCGGGGUUAGUAGGUUGGUCAUGCCUCUGGUAUGUACUGGUCUCACUGAUUCCUCCUUCCUGAUGAGCCGUAAUGCCAUUAAUUUGGUGUUGCGGGGAAUUUGGACUGUUACUUUGAAAAAAUUAGAGUGUUUAAAGCAAGCUAACGCUUGAAUACAUUAGCAUGGAAUAAUGAAAUAGGACGUUCGAUCCUAUUUUGUUGGUUUCUAGGAUUGACGUAAUGAUUAAUAGGGAUAGUUGGGGGCAUUAGUAUUCAAUUGUCAGAGGUGAAAUUCUUGGAUUUAUUGAAGACUAACUACUGCGAAAGCAUUUGCCAAGGAUGUUUUCAUUAAUCAAGAACGAAAGUUAGGGGAUCGAAGACGAUCAGAUACCGUCGUAGUCUUAACCAUAAACUAUGCCGACUAGGGAUCGGAUGAUGUUA
rnacentral:rRNA from 1 species